rnacentral:rRNA from 1 species
UACGUAGGGGGCAAGCGUUGUCCGGAUUUAUUGGGCGUAAAGAGCGUGUAGGCGGCUAGAUAGGUCCGUUGUGAAAACUCGAGGCUCAACCUCGAGACGCCGGUGGAAACCAUCUAGCUAGAGUCCGGAAGAGGAGAGUGGAAUUCCUGGUGUAGCGGUGAAAUGCGCAGAUAUCAGGAAGAACACCCGUGGCGAAGGCGGCUCUCUGGGACGUGACUGACGCUGAGACGCGAAAGCGUGGGGAGCGAGCAGG